rnacentral:rRNA from 1 species
UACGUAGGGGGCUAGCGUUGUCCGGAAUCAUUGGGCGUAAAGAGCGUGUAGGCGGUCCGGUAAGUCCGCUGUGAAAGUCGGGGGGCUCAACCCUCGAAUGCCGGUGGAUACUGUCGGGCUAGAGUGCGGAAGAGGCGAGUGGAAUUCCUGGUGUAGCGGUGAAAUGCGCAGAUAUCAGGAGGAACACCUAUUGCGAAGGCAGCUCGCUGGGACGUAACUGACGCUGAGACGCGAAAGCGUGGGGAGCAAACGGG